AGAGUUUGAUCAUGGCUCAGAACGAACGCUGGCGGCGUGGAUAAGACAUGCAAGUCGAGCGCUUAUUCCCUGGUAGCAAUAUUAGGGAGUAGGAGCGGCGCAAGGGUGCGUAACACGUGGAUCAUCUGCCUGGAAGUUCGGAAUAAUUCGGCGAAAGCCGGACUAAUGCCGGAUGUGGUUGGAAGACUAAAGUUGGGGACCGCAAGGCCUGACGCUUCCAGAUGAGUCCGCGGCCUAUCAGCUAGUUGGCGGGGUAACGGCCCACCAAGGCUAAGACGGGUAGCUGGUCUGAGAGGACGACCAGCCACACUGGAACUGAGACACGGUCCAGACACCUACGGGUGGCAGCAGUCGAGAAUUUUUCUCAAUGGGCGAAAGCCUGAAGGAGCGACGCCGCGUGGGGGAUGAAGGGCUUCGGCCCGUAAACCCCUGUCAUUUGCGAACAAACGUUAUGGUUGAACAUUCCAUGACUUGAUUGUAGUGAAAGAGGAAGGGACGGCUAACUCUGUGCCAGCAGCCGCGGUAAUACAGAGGUCCCGAGCGUUGUUCGGAUUCACUGGGCGUAAAGGGUGCGCAGGUGGGUUUGCAAGUUUGAUGUGAAAGCCCCGGGCUUAACCCGGGAAUGGCAUUGAAUACUGCAGAUCUGGAGGAUUGGAGGGGGGACUGGAAUUCUUGGUGUAGCAGUGAAAUGCGUAGAUAUCAAGAGGAACACCAGUGGCGAAGGCGAGUCCCUGGACAAUACCCGACACUGAGGCACGAAAGCCAAGGGAGCAAACAGGAUUAGAUACCCUAGUAGUCC
rnacentral:rRNA from 1 species